rnacentral:rRNA from 1 species
UACGGGGGGGGCAAGCGUUGUUCGGAAUUACUGGGCGUAAAGGGCUCGUAGGUGGCCAACUAAGUCAUACGUGAAAUCCCUCGGCUUAACCGGGGAACUGCGUCUGAUACUGGAUGGCUUGAGUUCGGGAGAGGGAUGCGGAAUUCCAGGUGUAGCGGUGAAAUGCGUAGAUAUCUGGAGGAACAUCAGUGGCGAAGGCGACACCCUGGACUCAUACUGACACUGAGGUGCGAAAGCGUGGGGAGCAAACAGG